rnacentral:misc_RNA from 1 species
AAGUCGUAACAAGGUUUCCGUAGGUGAACCUGCGGAAGGAUCAUUAUCGAAUUCAGGUCGGAAAGGGGGGAGAGACUGUCGCCAUGAUCACCGGACGUGUGCACGUCUUCCCUCCCGAUCCACCACUGCUAUACUGCAACACACCCGUGCACCCUUUGUAGGUCCUCGACAGAGGAUCUAUGUCUUCGUUCAUUCUCCACGUCGUAUGUCCCAUGAAAUAAAUCAUAACAUUUUGUAUACAACUUUCAGCGACGGAUCUCUUGGCUCUC